CAGUAGCCACGGGAAUACGAAGGGGGCUAGCGUUGCUCGGAAUGACUGGGCGUAAAGGGCGCGUAGGCGGAUUGAUCAGUCAGACGUGAAAUUCCUGGGCUCAACCUGGGGGCUGCGUUUGAGACGGUUGAUCUAGAGUUUGGAAGAGGGUCGUGGAAUUCCCAGUGUAGAGGUGAAAUUCGUAGAUAUUGGGAAGAACACCGGUGGCGAAGGCGGCGACCUGGUCCUUGACUGACGCUGAGGCGCGAAAGCGUGGGGAGCAAACAGGAUUAGAUACCCCCGUAGUCCCUGUCUCUUAUAC
rnacentral:rRNA from 1 species